rnacentral:rRNA from 1 species
UUUGAUCCUGCUCAGAUGACGCUGGCGGCGUGCUAACACAUGCAAGUCGAACGGGGCGCGCAGGCUGAGGCUUUUCGGAGCGGAAGCCGGCGCUGCCAGUGGCGGACGGGUGAGUAACGCGUGGGCAACCUGCCCUGCACUGGGGGACAACAGCCGGAAACGGCUGCUAAUACCGCAUAUGCCCGCAGCCCCGCAUGGGGCGGCGGGGGAAGCUCCGGCGGUGCAGGAUGGGCCCGCGUCUGAUUAGCUGGUUGGCGGGGCAACGGCCCACCAAGGCGACGAUCAGUAGCCGGCCUGAGAGGGUGGGCGGCCACAUUGGGACUGAGACACGGCCCAGACUCCUACGGGAGGCAGCAGUGGGGGAUAUUGCACAAUGGGGGGAACCCUGAUGCAGCGACGCCGCGUGGGCGAUGGAGUGCUUCGGCAUGUAAAGCCCUAUCAGCAGGGAAGAAAAUGGCGGUACCUGACUAAGAAGCCCCGGCUAAAUACGUG